rnacentral:lncRNA from 1 species
CCUUCCCUUUUCUGGUUCAUCUUGGAAACUGGGUGUUGCCGCAUUCUAUCUGGGUGCUGGUGGUACUUGAAAAUGAUCAGUUUAAAAUGAUGCUUUCGUGUUUACCUUGAACCAUGGUGUAGAAAGAAUCGAUCGAGGACAGAUUUGAAGUGAUGCUGACAUCUUCUUCUCGGCUAGAUGACUCAAUGUCCACUGUGAUAGCCUUGUCCAUGUCCCCAUGCAGCAGCACCAGAGAAAAUUUCAAAAAUGAUGGUGUCGUCUGAAGAA